GACGAACGCUGGCGGCGUGCUUAACACAUGCAAGUCGAACGGAAAGGCCCUGCUUUUGUGGGGUGCUCGAGUGGCGAACGGGUGAGUAACACGUGAGUAACCUGCCCUUGACUUUGGGAUAACUUCAGGAAACUGGGGCUAAUACCGGAUAGGAGCUCCUCCUGCAGGGUGGGGGUGGGAAAGUUUCGGCGGUUGGGGAUGGACUCGCGGCUUAUCAGCUUGUUGGUGGGGUAGUGGCUUACCAAGGCUUUGACGGGUAGCCGGCCUGAGAGGGUGACCGGCCACAUUGGGACUGAGAUACGGCCCAGACUCCUACGGGAGGCAGCAGUGGGGAAUAUUGCACAAUGGGCGGAAGCCUGAUGCAGCAACGCCGCGUGCGGGAUGACGGCCUUCGGGUUGUAAACCGCUUUCGCCUGUGACGAAGCGUGAGUGACGGUAAUGGGUAAAGAAGCACCGGCUAACUACGUG
rnacentral:rRNA from 1 species